rnacentral:rRNA from 1 species
UAAUACGGAGGGUGCAAGCGUUGCUCGGAAUUAUUGGGCGUAAAGGGUAGGUAGGUGGUCUCAUUUGUCUGGGGUGAAAUCCUUGAGCUUAACUCAAGAAGUGCCCCAGAAACGGUGAGACUAGAGUUCUGGAGAGGGUCGUGGAAUUCCCGGUGUAGCGGUGAAAUGCGUAGAGAUCGGGAGGAACACCAGAGGCGAAGGCGGCGACCUGGACAGAUACUGACACUCAACUACGAAAGCAUGGGUAGCAAACAGG